ACCAGCCGAUCCCCUCCCGAUCCCCACCUUCCUCGCCAACUCCAGCCCGGCCGCCGCACCCGGGACCCCGUUGCGGGCCACCCUGACCCCCACGUUUCCCACCUGCCCACCCGAGAGGUCGUCGCCCUCCCGCAACUACCUGGUGCCGGUGACACGUGCCGCCCCCAACUAGGAUCUCAUGCAUCCGCCAUCCCCCACCAGGAUCCAACUAUGGAGGCCGCAUCUCCUAUGCUUCAACCAUGGAGGCCGCUUCCCCCUGCUUCAACUAUAGCAGUGGCCCUCCCUCCGCGCGUGCCCUCCCUCCGCGCGUGCCACCAGCAACCACCGUCAGCUGGCUUUCUCCUGCGCAGCGGUGGUGCAUCUCCUGCUCCCAGAUCCAGGCGCGGGCCCCAACCCCUUCUACCACUGGAUCUCGGGCUCGCCGGUGGGCGACGGCGCUGCCCACCGCCCGUGGCUCAUCCCCCCAGUGCCGUCGAGGUUCAGGUCCCGUAUCGUACACCCCUCCCUCGAAUACGUCGCUCCGACCUUCUUUCAUAGAGCCAGCGGCCGCUCUGCCUUCCUACAGUUGCCCGUGCUCCUCCAUCGAUGUUCCCGCGGUCAUCCACUGCACCGCCAACAUCCUCUCUCCGGCCGACCUGCAGCUGGGGGAGGUCUCAAACUACAGCUGGAGGAGGUCUCGACCUGCAGGCGAGGCUUUGAGCAGCAUCUCCAUGGAUAAAUCGCCCUGACUAAAUGACCCAACCAAGUUAAUCAACAAGAAAUACGCGAGAGAGAGACAGUUUGGGUUACGUGCAGUGUACAUUAGCUCUGGCAGAGAAAAUAUAUGUUCGAAUUCUUGCACCGUUGUGCUAGCUAACACAACUUAUUAUUCAGUGAUUUGCACAAACACUUCACCUGGAGGUAUUGACUUGCAGCUUGCCGCGUCUGCCGCUGCCGCCGAGGUCCACCACAUACACUCGAUGUUGCGGCAACCACCCCCACCACUGUCCGUUGCCGAUGCGUGCAACCACGUCCAGCCACCCACUGGACGUGGGCACAGAGGCAGGGCCAUGCCGAGGGAGCUCGAGCUCAACCACCCACAGCUGGUUCCCCUGCAGGUUGUACACCCCACCAACCACACCAUCUUCUCCUCGUCUAUUCUCUUGCCUCCUUGCUUCUGUAGUUCAAGAUGAUUUAAAAAGGUUGCAGCGGAAAAACAAAAUGCAGAAGUUCAAAGAUGAAAUUUGAAGAAGGAAAUAUGCAACAAUCAAAGAAGUGGCGGUCUCAUUACAGCGAAGAAGAACGCCUUGCGAUCCAACCGAGUUGACUCCUGCCAUCGACACUGCAUAAUUAUCACUGGAUGCCCAUGGCCACCGGCGCUGGAUAAUUAGCACUGAAUGACUUGCAAUCCGGAAGAAAGUUGCGCCCAUAACCUGUGGAGAUCUAUAACAUUGUGCAGUUGGUCGUGAUGUCUCCUGGAGCUUCAAUUUUCUUACCCUGAUGCAUUUUCUUCCUUUUUGAUGUGCCACUUGAUGCAUAAAUUAUCACUGGAUGCCCAUGGCGUGUUCACAGUAUGUGUUUGUGUUAGUACCCGACAGGUUCCAUCAUGUACUAAAUGGGGAUGGAUAGAGAGAUCCAUAAUUCAUUUGUAUAGAAGUUCAAAUUUAAACAAAAUAGAGGUCCAAUGUUUAUGAAAGCUAUUUUAGUAAUUCUUUACUAAAA